rnacentral:tRNA from 1 species
GCCGGGAUGGUGGAAUUGGUAGACACAAGGGACUUAAAAUCCCUCGCCCCAACGGGCUUGCGGGUUCGACUCCCGCUCCCGGCA